CUAGGCUGUAUGGUAGAGGGUGACAAUUUUUCGGGACUCCCGCGGGUCACGGUAUUCCCGUGGGAGUCUUGCGGUACGGGAGUCAAUUUCACUGUUGGUAACGUGAUAGGGACGGGGCGGGCA